GUUGCAGCAAUGAGAGCAAACAGGGAGAUAGUGAGAGCUGUUGACAUGGUUGAGUUUUUGGAGAAAAAGGGUUGCAGCAUUGGGUUUGAGGCUUAUGUGACGUUGGUUAACGGAUGUUUAGAGAGGCGAGAGUUUAUUUUGGCAGGAAAGGUAGUGAUGGAAAUGGCAGAGAGAGGAUUUAUACCUUACAUCAGAGUCAGGCAGAGGGUGGUAGAAGGGCUUGCUAGUGUUGGUGAAGGGGCUCUUGCCUCUGCUGUGAGGCAAAGGUUUGCAGAUUUGAGCUCUUAGCUCCUAAAGCACUACUGGCUAAAGAAGCACAACUAAAAAUAUACCAUGCAGCUUACUCUAUGUGGCAGUCUUUCUCACACUGUUUCUUAGGCAGCUAAUGUGAGCUGGCUUGAAAGAUUUUUGAUAAGCCCAAACCAAGUCUGGGUUCACAUUGAGAUUGGCUAGGUACACCGCCUGAUCCCAGAUUGUAUGAUGCAAAACUAAUCAGCAAGAAGAUUGGGGCCUAUGGCAUCUUUAGUGUCUACUGUGUUCAGCUGUAGCACUGAAGAAAUUGCAGAAGCUGUUGACAUCAGGUGAUUUCUGUAGAAAUUCGAGAUUUGCUGUUGGGUUUACACCUCUGGAACCGAAAUUAACCACUCAGUAACGGACAUUGAGAGGGCCAAGAACCGCUCACCUGAGGAUCUCAUUUCAAUCUGGCAUGAUCAUAUUACUUCAUCAACUAAACCUGAUCAGUCUUCCAAAGACAAUUCUGCCUUCCUUGGCAACCGUGGACGUGGUUGCGGUCGUGGGUCGGUUGGUCGGGGUUCUAGUGGACAGUCGUCUGAUCGUGCAUCUGCCAUUGCACUUACUAUGGGAAGUCCAACCAUACUGUUGAGACUUGCUGGGGCAAAGCAUGGCAAGCCAGAGUGGGCCACCCAGUUAGCCAAUCAUGCAGUGUCAGACGAUGGUACUGACACAAUGUCUUCCACUGAUACUAAGCCGAUAACUUCCUCAGGAGAUUAAUCUACCAAUCUGCGUGAUGACAUCAAUCAGUUGCUUCGGCGCUUACAGACUCUCGAGGCAUCCUCUAAUGCAUCCAAUGGUGGAUCUACAUCUGCUGCCACCCUAGCUCAUACAGGAUCUUCACACGAGGAAGAUGAUUGGUGGAGGGUGUGAAAAAGAUGGUUUAUAUUAUCUCAACUGUGGCUCUCCUGCUUCUUCUGCUGCUGCUACUGCUAUUGGGGAUGUGACCCUUUCCAAUGGCACUGUCAUUUAGGACAUUUGUCUUUAUCUAAGUUGAAACUUUUAUUUCCUAGUUUUAAGUUUGUGCUUAGGUUCGAAUGUGAGGCAUGUGAGUUGGGAAAACAUCACCUUGUGUCCUUCCCAUCUCGCUCUGUGUCUCGUAGUCCGUUUUUAUUUUUUUUACUCCAUUCUUAUGUAUGGGGUCCUUGCAGAGUUAGUAAUAG